UCAGGCAACAGAGAUACAGGAGAGGUAAAACGAAAUUACAUAUUUUGAAAGUCAUCUUUUAUUAUGAAAACAACCGAGAUGAAAACCAUGAAGGUAACCAACACCCUAUUCGCCCUUGGACGUGCCACCAACAAACACCCAGAAUGGCCCGGCCCAUACCUAGGACCCAAACCAGC